UUGAGAUGCAACAGAAGAUAGCUCUCAAAAACCAUCCAAAAUAACAAAGCAGUCAUUGCUGCUUCUCUGCUAAAAUCUUGCUCAUCCAAAUCACUCUCUCUUCAACCGUGCCAUCCGAGCCUUUUCUAAGACUUUCGUUGCUUCGUGUUCAAUCAAUAAAAGUUCACGUUCGAACGUUUUGCCAACCCGUGUUUGCUUAACUCGCGUUACGUGCCACUCUAAAUGAUCUUUGUCAUGGAAUUGAGGUCCACGGACCCUUUGUGAAAAUGGGUGUGUUCCGGUUAUGAAUGCUUUGAUUGAUAUGUAUGGUAAAUGUGGUGCAUUAAAGACGACACAUGGAGUGUUUGAUGAAAUGGGUGAAAGAGAUUUGCUUGGCUCGCGGGGAGGAUUUGGACCAUAUGGUGAAUGCCUGCGAUUUGAUUGAUGAGAUUCCGGUAGGGAAUGUGGAAAAUGUUGGUUUAUGUAGAUAUAAAGGUACACAGCGCGUGCUAUUUUUUAUAGGAUGCUGGAGAAAAAUGCUGUUUUUUUGACUACUGAGUUGGUGGUGUGAGCACUGUGAGGAGGACAAAAGGGUUUGGCAAGAAAUGAAGGAGAGAAGUGUGAUUAAGCUUCAUGGGUGCAGUUGGGUUGAGAUUAAUUGCAAAGAUCAUGGAAUUGAAAUCAAGAACUGAACCUUGAGGGACUUAUAGCAAAACUUUGAGGACUAUAGUAAGUGUGCCACAAGUCAUCAUUGCUGUGUGAAAAGAAAACUCUUGCUGUUUAAAAUUCAUGGAGUGGUAUUAGUUUGGUUAUCAGUGAUCAAUUUUGUUAACUCAGGAACCAGGAAAGAUACCAAGGUACACUAAUGCUAAUAUUGUUGUGAGCCUAAGGAUUACAUGUUGCUCAUAUGGAGGUAAUAAUGACCCAGCUUCCUCAUCUUGUACUAUUUGUUGGAUGUAGUUAUUUGGCUCAAGCACUGGGAUAUCCUUAUGUAGGAUGUAGCUAUGCUUACUGGGGAUGUUUGUUAAUGAUUGUUUGCUUUAAAAUAUUGGUCAACACCAUCUCAGUUUAAGAGAGUUUGUAUAGUGUUGGUACCUUGAUUUCAGAGAACUUGAAAGCCCUGGUCAUAGUUAUCUAGAAGAUGAAAUUUAUAAAAGGGUUCCUUUGUCUCAUGUUUAUAGGCUCUAAAGUCUAAGAGUCUAAGUGAACAUUCUGUUUUAAGCAAUAUUAAAAGACACAAAUAAGGUCUUUCACUAGAAAAUUUAUCCUCAAGUGCUGGGACUCAGAAAGUUUGUCUUAGAGAUUUAUGUUAUUUUACUAAAGAAUAAUGAUGCCUCUCUGGGAUGUUCUAGAAAGAUUUAGCAACAUGAAUUUGGUAGGGGUAGAUGUAAUUGAUUGAGAAGUAGAAAAAUGAAUGUUAGGAUGGUCUUCAAUGAAAACUGAAUUUUGCAGUUUUGUAUCUGAUAACUGAAAAGGUCCAUUACCCACUGUU